CAACGACCACAGAAAAAGGCGAUACAAGCAUUUGCAGCUGCUCUGGAAUCUCGUAAAAUAACCGUGAGCAUACGUCAAACGAGAGGCCUGGAUGCAAGUGCAGCUUGCGGUCAGCUGAGAAAUGAGUUCCAGAAAAGUCCUUUACUUGCUGACUCCGACAGCUUACAAUCACAACCAGACAUUGCAGUUGCAUGCUGAUGCCAUAAGGAUUCUGGUUGGCUGCCUCUAUACUAUGUUUUUCUAUAGCCACAUUCCACACACAACUUUUCUUCCCCAUCCACAAGAAUCUUGAUAUUUGGUGAUGAGGCUAGUUGGUUCUUCAACAAUCUUGACAAUGGCAUGAUCCAGAAUUCUCAUAUUCUAUGUGAGCCAACAAAGUCAACAUAGUUUCGUACAUUAUGCGGAAAUUAAGGGGGUGAAAUGUAUAUUUAUCUUUUGAUGAUUUUCUGGCGGAC
rnacentral:misc_RNA from 1 species